rnacentral:rRNA from 1 species
GCGUGAGUGAAGAAGGCCCUAGGGUUGUAAAGCUCUUUCACCCGUGAAGAUGAUGACGGUAGCGGGAGAAGAAGCCCCGGCUAACUCCGUGCCAGCAGCCGCGGUAAUACGGAGGGGGCAAGCGUUGUUCGGAAUUACUGGGCGUAAAGGGCGCGUAGGCGGAUUUUCAAGUCAGGGGUGAAAGGCCUGGGCUCAACCCGGGAACUGCCUUUGAAACUGGAAGUCUAGAGUCCGGGAGAGGAUGGCGGAAUUCCCAGUGUAGAGGUGAAAUUCGU